GCUGGUUCUACAGUGCCAUUGCA
rnacentral:miRNA from 15 species